rnacentral:rRNA from 1 species
GUCUACGGCCAUACCACCCUGAACGCGCCCGAUCUCGUCUGAUCUCGGAAGCUAAGCAGGGUCGGGCCUGGUUAGUACUUGGAUGGUAGAAGUGGAAGAAAUGAUACCAGAUA